CGUGGGUAACCUGCCCAAGAGACUGGGGAUAACACCUGGAAACAGAUGCUAAUACCGGAUAACAACACUAGACGCAUGUCUAGAGUUUAAAAGAUGGUUCUGCUAUCACUCUUGGAUGGACCUGCGGUGCAUUAGCUAGUUGGUAAGGUAACGGCUUACCAAGGCAAUGAUGCAUAGCCGAGUUGAGAGACUGAUCGGCCACAUUGGGACUGAGACACGGCCCAAACUCCUACGGAAGGCAGCAG
rnacentral:rRNA from 1 species